UGUUUAGGGACAGAGGCAGCAUCUUAACCUGCCGCGUCAGCCACGCGUCUCUGGUUCAACCCCUGCAGGAGGCGUUCGCCCUGGCUGUCACAUGGUCAACAGGUGACACAGUCGCAGUUGUCUCAUGGAUCCUCGUCCUCCUUGUGAUUUUCCUAGUUGCGUGUGCACGCCGGGUCUGUCAACGAAGAUCCACCCGACAGUUGUGACAUUCCCCUCUGUUGCUAUCUGAAUCAGUGAUCUGCGAGGUCACUCCAACGCUUGACUCUGGGAGCCAGGCUCACCCUGCUCUGCUGUGAGACUCCCCACCCCUGGGCUGGUCACACACAGCCUCUGGCGUGUCAGCUGCUCCUUGGAUUGUGCAACCGAAUGACACCAGCCGAUAUCUCCGGGCCCAGACCCAGCCCUGGGAAGCUAGGCCCGCUGGACGCUGCAAGCUGUAGCAAAGUCCCGAGUCUGGGUCAGUGGGUCCUGCGCUUCUGGGCGCAUUCAGUGGCCUCAGAAACUCGAUAAGGCCCCAACGUGACCUCCCUUUCGCAGUGUAGCGGCAUGAGUCACAGCCUAUGGAGUUACUUCCAUCACCGGGCAGUACGGGAGAUGGGACGGGGGAAUACCCCACAGUCUCUGGUACUCCACAGAGCUCAGUGGGCGCAGUUCGGCCUCCCCCUGGACCCAGUCCUGCUUCCCCUCUCAAGGGGAUCUCUGUAGAGUAUGGGGAGGUGCGGGGGGGUUGGUCUGUGCUCACAUUGCUAAGCAAUUGGUUGGUAUAUUAUUCUCUAGCCUCCCCAGGAAAGGGGGUG